rnacentral:rRNA from 1 species
GGCCUACCAUGGUGGUAACGGGUAACGGGGUGUUAGGGCACGACACCGGAGAGGGAGCCUGAGAAACGGCUACCACAUCCAAGGAUGGCAGCAGGCGCGCAAAUUACCCAAUCCCGACACGGGGAGGUAGUGACAAUAAAUAACAAUACGGGGUUCUUUCGGAUCUCGUAAUUGGAAUGAGUACAAUUUAAAUCUCUUAACGAGGAACAAUUGGAGGGCAAGUCUGGUGCCAGCAGCCGCGGUAAUUCCAGCUCCAAUAGCGUAUAUUAAAGUUGUUGCAGUUAAAAAGCUCGUAGUUGAAUUUCGGGAUUGACACAUCGGUCGUGCCUUAAGGGGUAUGAACUGGUGUAGUCAAUUUCUCACCUUCUGGAGAACCACGAUGCCCUUAAUUGGGUGUCGCGGGGAACCAGGACCUUUACUUUGAAAAAAUUAGAGUGUUUAAAGCAGGCAUUUUGCUUGAAUACAUUAGCAUGGAAUAAUAAAAUAGGACGGCAUGAUUCUAUUUUGUUGGUUUCUAGGAUCACCGUAAUGAUUAAUAGGGAUAGUUGGGGGCAUUAGUAUUCAAUUGUCAGAGGUGAAAUUCUUGGAUUUAUUGAAGACUAACUACUGCGAAAGCAUUUGCCAAGGAUGUUUUCAUUAAUCAAGAACGAAAGUUAGGGGAUCGAAGACGAUCAGAUACCGUCGUAGUCUUAACCAUAAACUAUGCCGACUAGGAAUCAGACGAUGUUAAUUUUUUAAUGACUCGUUUGGCACCUUACG